ACGGAUACAAAGUUCUCGUUGGAGCAGCUCGAGGUUUUGCAAACAAAGAAUGAGGUCGUUUAUUUCGGUGUCAAGGACUACAAGCUACAACUGUGUAACCGGAUUCUGUAGAUUUUUUCAAACCGGCGUUCAUUCUUCGAGACGAUCCACUUCUACGCUGCGCAGUCCGUCGACAAUCUUCUACAGAAUUUAAAAAACUUCGUACUCUCCAUCAGUGGUUAGAGAGGGGAGUGAUGUGGUGAGCCGUUACCACAAUACAUUUAGGCCGGGUUGGAAAACGUAUAAAUCAAUUGGUAAACAUGUUUUUCGGCGGCACAACCGGUCAUCGCGUCAGUUGACGUAUGUAUAGUUUUAUACCGACGCCUCCUAUAUUUCGUAACCACCGUUAUCACCACGCAUUCGAGGGAUCAAUUGCGCACUCAAUAAACACAGUCUUUGCUUGAUGAAAACAAUUACUAUUAUCGCGAAGUAUGUGAUAAAGUGAUCCAAGUUAGACAAGUAACGGGUGACGUUCUGAACGGUGAUGUGACCAAGACGGCGGUAAUCCCCUCAGCAACGAAGUGAUCUGUUCGUUUUUGGACGGCAGGCGGAGCGGUCUUGGCCAAGCGUUGCAUGAGGGGAGAAUGGUCAUUUGUUUGCGUAGGAAAGCGUAUUCACGACGUGCGAUAUUGAUCCGGUCUGGUGACAACUUCCGAGAUCAAGCACAACAUGGCGGGUCUAUUGUCUGGAGAACGUGUUCAACUUCGACCGAUGUAUACCUCACGGCAGCAAACGAAAUUCGAAACUAAAAUGGAUCUUUUAAAUAACAACGUUUCGCGUUCGAUCGUUCCUGAGGGAUUCCGGCACGGAGUCAGACAACAGGCCGUGACUUCGAAUUAUUACACAAACACGUGAUCAUUCACCCCUCAUUCAGCUUUUGGCCGAGGCAACUUCUCUUGGUGCUCAAGAAGGACAAGUCAUUCGACCCUGUAGAUACUACCGUCUAAAUCCUGUAAAACGCGGACCGUAACCGCUGCUCACUCGCAUCAUUCCGGGAGUGGUCUUCUUUAUUACUCGCUGCUCAACUCGCCAUUCAAUACGUCGUGGAUUAUCGAAGAUAGACAUUCGACACUUCACACGGAUACAAAGUUCUCGUUGGAGCAGCUCGAGGUUUUGCAAACAAAGAAUGAGGUCGUUUAUUUCGGUGUCAUGGACUACAAGCUACAACUGUGUAACCGGAUUCUGUAGAUUUUUUCAAACCGGCGUUCAUUCUUCGAGACGAUCCACUUCUACCCUGCG